CUCUAGAGAUUCCUACGGGAGGCAGCAGUGGGGAAUAUUGCACAAUGGGCGCAAGCCUGAUGCAGCCAUGCCGCGUGUGUGAAGAAGGCCUUCGGGUUGUAAAGCACUUUCAGCGAGGAGGAAGGUGGUGAGCUUAAUACGUUCAUCAAUUGACGUUACUCGCAGAAGAAGCACCGGCUAACUCCGUG
rnacentral:rRNA from 1 species